rnacentral:rRNA from 1 species
AACGUAGGACGCAAGCGUUAUCCGGAGUUACUGGGCGUAAAGCGCGGGCAGGCGGUCGGUCAAGUCUGAUGUGAAAUCUCUCCGCUCAACGGGGAGCAGCCAUUGGAAACUGGGUCGACUGGAGUCUGGCAGAGGUAGGCGGAAUUCUCGGGUGUAGCGGUGAAAUGCGUAGAUAUCGAGAGGAACACCUGCGGCGAAGGCGGGUUGCUGGGCUGAUACUGACGCUGAGGCGCGAAGCCAGGGGAGCGAACGGG